UGCCUUUGGAAUGCCUUUCUUUUUCAGG
rnacentral:sRNA from 1 species